UUGUAAAAGAGUAGGUUGGCUGGCCGAGAAGUUGGAUUGACUUUGUUUGCUAUGCUGUAGGGAAGAAGGAGUCAGUGCUGCAAGGAGCUGCCCGUGAGAAAUCACUAAGAAGGACUUCAGAUGAAAGAGAGCCAUCUACUGCUCUACAUGAGACAUGCUUCAGCCUGUCUUUUUAGACUGAUGAUUUGAAAUGUCAGGGUGGGAUUUAGGGAAGGAAAUGGAAACCUCUGCUGUUUUCCUCUUUAUGCUGUGGAGUCAAGUGACAAGGGAAGCAGGGCACUGAGCAGUGCUUUCCACCAGCUCCCCAGCCUAGCACAGAGCACAGCUGCAUCCAGCUAUGGAAGUAACCAGGGCAAAAGUGUUUGAAUACAAACAAUUGUCCCUUUUAGAAACAAAAAUAAAUAAAGUCUGAAAAUACUUCAAAUCCUCCAUCUCAGGAGGAUGCAUCACAAGUAUGAUACACUGGCAGAGCAGACCAACAACCAGCAGUGCCUGAUAGGUUGGACAGAGGCAAACCAUGCCUGUUUCCACACAACUACACACAAAGUCAACCUCCAGGGUGUCAGGAAUGACAUUCUUACCUGCUGUGACAAAGGCCCUGAAGCCCUGCAUCCUCCUUGUGUGAUGAGAAGAGUCUAUGGAGAGCUUGGGAUUCAGCUGUGGAUGGAAGUGAUCACCCUCGUGACCCUGUGCAUGCUGCACACAGUCCUGGCCAGACACCCCUACACU